CAUUGAAACACCGGUUCCCAUAAAAUCGCAGGAGUUAAGCAAGUUUGAGCCUUGUCAGUACUGAGAUGGGUGACUAAUUGUAAAUACCAGAUGCUGUAU